rnacentral:rRNA from 1 species
GAUGAACGCUGGCGGCGUGCCUAAUACAUGCAAGUCGAACGAAACUUCUUUAUCACCGAGUGCUUGCACUCACCGAUAAAGAGUUGAGUGGCGAACGGGUGAGUAACACGUGGGUAACCUGCCCAAAAGAGGGGGAUAACACUUGGAAACAGGUGCUAAUACCGCAUAACCAUAGUUACCGCAUGGUAACUAUGUAAAAGGUGGCUAUACUACCGCUUUUGGAUGGGCCCGCGGCGCAUUAGCUAGUUGGUAGGGUAAAGGCUUACCAAGGCAAUGAUGCGUAGCCGAAUUGAGAGGUUGAUCGGCCACAUUGGGACUGAGACACGGCCCAAACUCCUACGGGAGGCAGCAGUAGGGAAUCUUCCACAAUGGGCGAAAGCCUGAUGGAGCAACGCCGCGUGGGUGAAGAAGGUCUUCGGAUCGUAAAACCCUGUUGUUAGAGAAGAAAGUGCGUGAGAGUAACUGUUCACGUUUCGACGGUAUCUAACCAGAAAGCCACGGCUAACUACGUG